rnacentral:rRNA from 2 species
GGGUUGUGAGGUUAAGCGACUAAGCGUACACGGUGGAUGCCCUGGCAGUCAGAGGCGAUGAAGGGCGUGCUAAUCUGCGAUAAGCGCCGGUAAGGUGAUAUGAACCGUUAUAACCGGCGAUACCCGAAUGGGGAAACCCAGUGUGACUCGUCACACUAUCAUUAACUGAAUCCAUAGGUUAAUGAGGCGAACCGGGGGAACUGAAACAUCUAAGUACCCCGAGGAAAAGAAAUCAACCGAGAUUCCCCCAGUAGCGGCGAGCGAACGGGGAGGAGCCCAGAGCCUGAAUCAGCAUGUGUGUUAGUGGAAGCGUCUGGAAAGUCGCGCGAUACAGGGUGACAGCCCCGUACACAAAAGCGCAUGUGUUGUGAGCUCGAUGAGUAGGGCGGGACACGUGGUAUCCUGUCUGAAUAUGGGGGGACCAUCCUCCAAGGCUAAAUACUCCUGACUGACCGAUAGUGAACCAGUACCGUGAGGGAAAGGCGAAAAGAACCCCGGCGAGGGGAGUGAAAAAGAACCUGAAACCGUGUACGUACAAGCAGUGGGAGCCCCACCACCAAAGCAUUCUCUGGUGUUGAAGGCCCUGCAAAGCAGCAUCGCGGUGGCGGAGCGUCGUUUGCGACGCCCAACACAAAAAACAAGCGGUGAGUGCUUUGGGGUGGGGUGACUGCGUACCUUUUGUAUAAUGGGUCAGCGACUUAUAUUCUGUAGCAAGGUUAACCGAAUAGGGGAGCCGUAGGGAAACCGAGUCUUAA